rnacentral:rRNA from 1 species
GAUUGUUUGAUUCUGGGCUCAGGAAUGAACGCUAGCGGGCAGUCCUUAACACAUGCCAAGUCGGAGGGGUAGAUGUCUUCGGACAUUGAGACCGGCGCACGGGGUGCGUAACGCGUAUGCAAUCUACCUUGGUACAGGAGGGAUAGCCCAGGAGAAAUUUGGAAUUAAUACCUCAUAAGCAUUAUUGAAUGGCAUCAUUUAAUAAUUAAAGUUCCAACGGUACAAGAUGAGCAUGCGUCCUAUUAGCUAGUUGGUGUGGUAACGGCAUACCAAGGCUACGAUAGGUAGGGGUCCUGAGAGGGAGAUCCCCCACACUGGUACUGAGACACGGACCAGACUCCUACGGGAGGCAGCAGUGAGGAAUAUUGGACAAUGGGCGCAAGCCUGAUCCAGCCAUGCCGCGUGCAGGAAGACGCAUCUAUGGUGUGUAAACUGCUUUUGUACGGGAAGAAACACUCUCUCGUGAGGGAGCUUGACGGUACCGUAAGAAUAAGGAUCGGCUAACUCCGUGCCAGCAGCCGCGGUAAUACGGAGGAUCCAAGCGUUAUCCGGAAUCAUUGGGUUUAAAGGGUCCGUAGGCGGUUUAAUAAGUCAGUGGUGAAAGCCCAUCGCUCAACGAUGGAACGGCCAUUGAUACUGUUAGACUUGAAUUAUUGUGAAGUAACUAGAAUAUGUAGUGUAGCGGUGAAAUGCUUAGAUAUUACAUGGAAUACCAAUUGCGAAGGCAGGUUACUAACAAUAUAUUGACGCUGAUGGACGAAAGCGUGGGGAGCGAACAGGAUUAGAUACCCUGGUAGUCCACGCUGUAAACGAUGGAUACUAGCUGUUGGGAGCAAUUCAGUGGCUAAGCGAAAGUG